rnacentral:rRNA from 1 species
ACUUAAAUUGAAGAGUUUGAUCAUGGCUCAGAUUGAACGCUGGCGGCAGGCCUAACACAUGCAAGUCGAACGGUAACAGGAAGCAGCUUGCUGCUUCGCUGACGAGUGGCGGACGGGUGAGUAAUGUCUGGGAAACUGCCUGAUGGAGGGGGAUAACUACUGGAAACGGUAGCUAAUACCGCAUAACGUCGCAAGACCAAAGAGGGGGACCUUCGGGCCUCUUGCCAUCGGAUGUGCCCAGAUGGGAUUAGCUAGUAGGUGGGGUAACGGCUCACCUAGGCGACGAUCCCUAGCUGGUCUGAGAGGAUGACCAGCCACACUGGAACUGAGACACGGUCCAGACUCCUACGG